CAGACGCGUGCUCUUCCGAUCUUACGUACUGAAGGCUUAUAUUAUUAUCUUCAUCCAUCAUCUUAGCUAAGUAUGACACUGCUUGAGAAAGCUGGUAUGAUCCUGUCAGUAAAAUAUGCAAUUAAGUCGCAUUUUCAAUAAUACCGGGCGCUGUGUAGUUAUUAAUGAAGACAGUGAUGAAGAUUGACGAAAAUAUUAACAAAUAUUUUGAUGACCACUUACGUUUUUGAUGAAUAUUUUUAUGAAUAAAUACAUUUUAUAAUUAGUUGUAAGUAGUGUUCUAAGCAGUUGAAAUAUAAAAUAAUUAACAAAAAAUUGGUUUUUAAUUUUUU
rnacentral:lncRNA from 1 species